rnacentral:tRNA from 1 species
GGCGGCAUAGCCAAGUGGUAAGGCCAAGGUCUGCAAAACCUUUAUCACCGGUUCAAAUCCGGUUGCCGCUC